rnacentral:lncRNA from 1 species
UUGUCGUCAACACAUAUUCAAUAUAAUCAAGAACAAGAAGAAUUAUACAUUAUGGAAAAUUGAAAAUAUAUUAUCACAGUAUAUUGUGUUACAUUUUACAACAAAAUAUUACAUGAUCAACCAUACAUAUGAACUGAAUGAUGUUUUAUUCAUACGAUUUUAGAGUAGCAAGACCAUUACUAUAUCAUACAUCUUGCCACUACAUACAACGAUUUAUAAUAUUAUUUGAUGAUUUGUUCUGAGACAAUUGGCUAGUCACUUACUCAUGGCCACCAAUGGGAGGGUUGUAUGCACCACUUCAAGGCUUGUAUUUGUCAUUAGGGGGCUUAUAUUUGUCACUUGGAGAUUUGUAUUCAUUAUCAGGGGAUUUGUAUUUGUCACCUGGAAACUUGUAAUCGUCACUUGGGGGCUUAUAUUUAUCAUGUGAGGGAUUAUAGUUGUCACCUUCAUGUUUAUAUUCAUCUCUAUAAGGCUUAUAUUUGUCACGUGAGGGAUUAUAGUUGUCACCUUCAUGUUUAUAUUCAUCUCUAGGAGGCUUAUAUUUAUCAUGUGAGGGAUUAUAGUUGUCACCUGCAUGUUUAUAUUCAUAUCUAGGAGGCUUAUAUUUGUCAUGUGGAGAGUUAUACUUGUCACGUGGAUAUUUGUACUCAUCACUAGGGGGUUUGUACUUAUCAUAUGGGGAUCUAUAUUUGUCACCUGGAGAUUUGUAUUUGUCACCUGGAGACUUGUAUUCCUCACUUGGGGGCUUAUAUUUAUCACGUGAGGGAUUAUAGUUGUCACCUGCAUGUUUAUAUUCAUCUCUAGGAGCCUUAUAUUUAUCAUGUGGGAAGUUAUAUUUGUCACGUGAAUAUUUGUACUCAUCACUAGGAGGUUUGUAUUUGUCAUAUGGGGAUCUAUAUUUGUCACCUGGAGACUUAUAUUCUUCACUAGGGGACUUAUAUUUAUCACGUGGAGAGUUAUAUCCAGUAUUAUAUUUGCCACGUCCAUCACCAGAAUAUCCGCCAAUGCCAUUAUAUCCAUCAUGGUAUUCAUCAUUCUUGUCAUCCAAUUUCAUUGCUACAAAUAUCAAAUAUGAAAUUUAUAAUUAGCAUAACAUCGAAUAUAUAUCAAAUGAUUAUAUAAGAAAUACAAUAUAUAUUUCAAAGAGAUAACUAAUUAAAGAAAAAUAAUAGUAAUAAACUUACAGGUCUCACAGCUUAUCAUUGCAAAAAUAGCCAAAAGAAUGCCAAGAAAUAGAAAUUCCUUGGAACCCAUCAUUUUUUUUCUUCUUUAAAGCUUAGUUAUUUUAAUUAAAGGAUGAAGAAAUUGAAGCAACGUUGAGUUAUAUUUAUACUAAGAAUUCAAUGUAUUAAAAUUGAUAAAUGGUCACCUAUCACUUAUCUUGCUCAAUUGACACGCCAUGUAAUUAAUUAUAUUUCCUCCGUUUUAAUUUAUUUGAUUAUUUAAAUAUUCGUUUAAGAAAGGAAUUUAGUAUAGGACCACAAUGUUUAUAGUUAAUAAAAGAAAACAAUAUAUUAUUUAAUUAUAAUUUUAAAAAAUGAAUAUUUUAAUAAACACAUAUUUUAUGUUAUGAUGGGAGUGAAUCUCAAACAAAAGAGAGAAAUGUUUUUGUUAAAUAUAUUUUUAAUACUUAAAUAAAAUCCCUAAGAGUAAUAAAUAACUUAAAAAUAUUAUUAUAUUUAUCAUAAUGCAAAUUUCUACAUUUUUUUUACGUAAUUUGUUUUUCUUAGACUUUUUUUUUUGGGGGGGGAAUUUGAAUAACAGAGACUAAUUCUCCAUUACUAAUAAAAAAAAGAUUCUUAAGUUUUACUUAAACACAAAUUGUUAUAAGUUAUAACCAUUCAAAGAACUUUUCAAAAACACGUUUGACAAAAUAAAAUACGUAGAAUUUAAAAGUUUUCCCAAAUAGGUUUUAAUUACUCAAAAAAUCUUUAUUGCUUUAGUUUUCUACUUCAUAUAUUUGAAGUAUUGCUAUCAAUUUUUGUGUUAGGUGCAAUUUUUGUGUUAGGUGAUCGAUAAGUAUCUUCUACUUUUAAUUUUACGUUUUUAAAUUCAAAAUUUGAGAUAAAAUUUUGAUAGAGAACACUUUAACCCUAAAGUGGAAUAUUCUUGUUAGAGGUAAAAGUAGAGUUGGUACAUCAGAUUUAUCUAAGUAAAAAUAGAAUUGGGACAUCGGAUUUAUCUGAACUUAAUCUUUUAAUGUGAGACAUAAAUUUCUAUUUAACAAUUUAUUCAUAUAGCAACAAAUGAUAUCUCUGAAUUCAUAACUUCAAAAUUACAAGUAAUUCAACACUAAAAACCUUAACCGUUAAGGUACUCGUAAUGUUUAAAUCUAAUUUUUAAGUUAAUUUGAAUCAAUCCACAUUAAUGGUGAAUCAUUUAAUUAAAUUAGUACAUAGAACACAUCAAAAUGUUUCAUAUUAACCGUGUAACAUCAAGUCAUUUCAUAUGAUUAAUUGGUAUUAAUAAUAAAUAUAACAAAUCAUAAGGAAAACUUGUGUUAAUUAAGUCAAACAUGAGAGGUUGUUUAUGAAAUUAUCAUUAAAAAGAUAAUUAACUUGAAAUACCUUAAUCUUGAUUGCUCAUAAAAGAGAGAUUUCGAAAUUUCUUGACUUAAAUCUUAUGUUUUCUUAAAAUAAAUAAAAUUUAGAAACCUUUCUUUAGUUUUAAAUUUAUUCACAUGGGUACAUGAGGAUCUAGCAAUUUUAUUACUGAUUUGCAUGAACUUGACGUUAUUCUAGGAACUCAUAAAUUUUAAGUUCAAAGUUUUCCUAUAAUGAUUAUUGGAUAUUUUCGUGGGAUAGUAAUUGUUAAAGUAUUGUUGUUUUGAAGUAUGGCAAAGUUAAGGAAAUUGUAGUAGUAAUAUGGCAAAAGAAAGAAGAUGUGUGUCUUAUUUGUUGAGUUCGAAAUGUAUAAUUGUCAUCAUCAAAAAGGGGGAAUUUGUUAGAAUGAUAAAGAUUUUGAUAAUUGACAAAUACAGAAACAGGUUGUACAGACGUGUUCCUUACAGAACGAAUCCGACUUGGAUAAGGAGAACGUCAACCACGUGAAUUAGAAGUUAUAAAGUUGUGGAAUUAUAAUUUUUUCGACAAGCAACAAGUACAAAAAGUUUCCUUUUGUAAAGGAGUUCAAAGUCAAGUGAAAGAAGGAAAACUAAUCCCUAUUUAAGAAAAUCUAUUUAAGGAAAUUGUAUAGAAAAGGAGUCCAAGUAGAAGUCAACAAGGAUUUGUAGAAGGCAAAUACAAGUUGAAUUAUACAAGAAUUUGUUGAAGUUCUGAUCUAUAAAUAGGGAGCUAUUUACAUAAAAAAAAAAUUGCACACUUACAUAGAGAGAAGAUCAAAACACAAUCAAGAAGUUUAAAAGAGUUUAGAGAUUUAUUGGGAGUGUAGCAAUUUGUGAAUAAAAAUUGUAAGAUUGUAUCAAAGAGUCUUGUUUACAAUCUGAGUUUUGUGAGUAGGAGUUGUUCGACAAGUUGUAGAACUUGAAGAACAUUGGAACAUAUAUAACCGGGGGGUUCUGUGUCUUUGGGUAGCUAGAGUUAUUCUAGAAAUUAGAGUUUAUAAUUCCUUAGGUUACAUAGCUUUGUAAUUUUUUGUUGAAACUUGAAAUUUAAUAAAGUGGAGUUAAAUCCUACAGAGAUGUAGGUCGUGAUUUUUACCCUUGUGAGUUGGGGGUUUUCGCGAUAAAAUAUUGUGUCAUUAUUUUAUUUAUUUCACAAAACGUAAUUGUUGUAAUUUCUCAAAGGAACAUAUAGAAUAAACAUGUUUCUAAGACGAAUUUGGGGGUCAGAAUUCUAACAAUUGGUAUCAGAGCAGGUUAUCUUUGAAGAGUCUAACAACUCAAGAUAAGAUCAUAAUGAAUUUUGUACCUUCUCUUGGGCAUGGUCAAGGGCAACACUUCAACAGACCACCAUUAUUUAAUGGAGAAUACUACUCUUGAUGGAAGACAAAAAUGAAAAAUUUCAUUCAAGCUGAAGCUUACGAACUAUGGGUUAGAAUUACUAAUGGACCAUUAAUUCCUACUAUUACUGAUAGUGAAGGGAAUAAGGUACCUAAACCUACAGAAAAGUACGGAGAAGCCGAUUAGAAGAUGUUAGGAAAGAAUGCAAAAGCUAAGUGCAUUCUCGUAUGUGGAUUAGGACCUGAUGAGUUUAACCGCAUCUCUAGUUGUACCUCUGCAAAACAAAUAUGAGACAUUUUAAAAAACGCUCGAAGGUACAACUCAAGUUCGUAAAUUCAGAAUUGCCAGACUUUGUUCUGAAUAUGAAGCCUUCAAGAUAAAAUUCGGAGAAUCACUUCAAGAUAUGAUCACCAGAUUUACCAUUGUUGUAAACGAGUUAAUAUCCUUGGACAAAGUAUACACCACUGAGGAACAGAUAGACAAAGUACUAGGGACUCUGCCUAGAUCAUGGGAAAUAAAAGUUACUGCAAUCAGAGAAGUCAAAGAUCUAAUCAAUAUGACUUUGGAUGAAUUAGUAGGAAAUCUCAAGACUUAUGAGAUGAAUAUUGACAAAAGAGGUGAAGGAAACAAAGAGAAAAAUCUUGAAUUAAAAGCAACUGAAAGUGAUGAAUUUGACAUAGAUGAUGAUGAUCUUGCUCUGAUAAGUAAGAACUUCAAGAAACUCUUAAAAAGGAGAUUAAACGCUAGCAAGAAAUCACCACCCCAAAAAGUAAGAAAUAUUGAGAGACUAUUAAGCUAUAAUAGAAAACCAUUUUAAAUAGUUUUGUUUGGUACUUACAAAAAUUAUAAGAAAAGAAACAGAGAAAUCAAAUUUGGCAAGAGGUAGAGUAUGUCUCUAUGUUUAGAUCAUAUUAAUUAUUUCAUCGAUCUCAAAUUCUCAAUUUAAUUUAAAUUUUGAAUAUUAAUUCAAGUCAUUUUGAUUUUUGUACAAAUUCAACGUAUAAACAAUUCGUUUGUCACCCAUACUAACACAAAUAUGUAUGAUUACUGGUGUAGAACAUGCAAAUGAUGCCAAACUUCUAGGAAUAGGAUUUCAAGGAUAUUUAGGAGAUGGAAUAGGAGGACUUCCGGGAAUAGGAGGACUUUCAAGAUCAAGAUUUGGAGGAGUCGGGUUUCCAUGGGGAGGAUAUGGUGGUUAUGGUGGUGGUCGUGGAUAUUAUGGUGGUUAUCCAAGAGGAGGAUAUGGUGGGUUUUAUCCUCGAAUUGGUUAUGGUGGAAGAGGAUGUUUUAUCGAAAAAAAAUGAUUUGCGAAAAGGAGCUUGUUUUAUUUUCGACUUUAGGAGUCGCCACUUAAUUUUUUAAGGAAAAUUAAGAAAACUUAUUUUCAAACAAUUAAACAGAAAAAUUGUGUUGAAAAUAUUUAAAUGGGUUCGGGAUUCAUAUUAGUGUCUUAGGAAGGUGUUGAAGGCACCUAAGACACUCCGUUAAAUACGAUUUUCCAACGACUAACUAUUUGACUAUUUUUGUUUUAACUUUUGCAAUUUUGAACUUAUUGAUUUUUAUCUAGGCAAGUUUGACAAAUUCUGAAACACUUAUUAUUUUAAGAUUCCAUUAAAGUUAAAACCUUUUAAACUUAACUCUAAGCAACCUUCAAAUUUAAACCCUUAUUGUUUUAAAGUUUCAAAUUUACGCUUUAAUUUUGAUAAAGUAAAAGGCGUUUGAUGGGGUUUGGAGUUUCUGAUCCUAGACUAUACGACAUUCAAAACAAAAACGACAUAAGCACGUAAUAAAGACAGAGAGAGAGGGAGAGAGAGAGAGAUUCGGGUCCAAGUUUCGGAUGCUGUUCACCUUGGCCGAAACUCGAACCCACCUGCUUUUUGGGUUUUUAACCCAUUUUUGUACCUAACCUAAUCUAAACAUAUAAAGGAAGUACGACAAAAUAAAAUAAGAACAACAAGGCUUAUGCCCAUUACAAAUAAAAAUAUACUAAAUGAAUGGAAAGGUCUUCCAAUCCGUCUUCUUCAAAUCUCUUCAACCUUCGUAGGAUUUGCUUGGCAUGUCUAUCCUGAUGGUUUGACUCGAAUGAAGAGAGUUUCAAGCCUUUACGGCUCUUCCGAAUGCGUAGGAAAAGAUAGAGCCCCAAAGUGGACUCGAAAAAGUAUUUCACAUGCAACAAAAAUAAAGGCAGUAUGAAAACAAGCGGAAUCUCGCAGAACAAAGAAGCAAAGAUUAUACAAAACUACUGUUAUUCAUCAUCUAGGACUAACUCAUUUAUGUAUAUCACUGGAAACAACAAGUUAUAAUACCCAUCAAUCAAAGUUUUUAAUAAUGACGCAUUCUUAACCAAUAAACUAACAUGACGAAAAACCAUACCACGGAAAGAAAAGGAAAGAAAGAGAAUUCAUACAUGCUGUUUCGAAUUUAAAUGUAAGCAUACGGGUUCAAACAUCUUUUGAAACUCAACAGGUGCUUAGCAUAUUCAUCUCUAGUUAAUUGAAGAGUCAAAAUGAUUAACAUGGUAAUACAAUACAUGGUUCAAACAAUACACACUCACUAUUCAUCACAAACAAGACUAGCCGUAACAGCAUGUUUUCGCCACGAUGAGGGCUAAAAAUAUUCGAACUUGCAAGUGUAUGUUACAAACCAAAACUAAACAAAAUUUCCUCUCUAGUCAUUGACGGUGAAUAUCAUUGAAACGGGAUCAUGAAUUUGGGAUGAGAAGCGUCAAGAACCUUCAAACAAAAGAACAAAAGAAGUGGCAGUCGGAAAAUGCGGACUGGAAAACAGAUUUCAUCAUUUAACUUCAGCUAAUCAAUAAGUAAAAUGCAGCUCGCAAUACUACUAUAAGCGACCCUUUCAGUUGAGAUUCAGACGAAACGACACAAACGACGAGUGUAACGACCAAACACAACAUGCGAUGUGACUCGAACACAAACAAAGCCAACAAGUAUAAUCUUCUACACUCACUGCGAGCAAGCCAUACAUACUCAACACCCGAACAUUUAACAUGCUUGACAAAGGGAAAAAAAAAAAAAAAAGAGGACCAGCAUACUGAAUGGGCAACAUCAUACAUAACGGUUUCAACUAUUAACCCGAAAGAGGCUCCAGUCACAACAAUGAACCAUCACGUCAAAAACAACAUGAACAAGGAGUGUUCGGAAAGGGAAAACAGUAAGCAACAGAACAACAUAACCACGAAUUUUCAAACGGUUUCUUCACUACAUCGAGUCAACAACAGCUACAACCAACCUAAACAACGAAGUGCAAACAACAGAUACAACUAAAAAAUCGAGAGUUGAAACGAAUGUUACCUUUUUCGGAGCAGCGAACGGAACAGGGACGAGCAGCAACAGCAGCGACUUCCACACGCGAACGGCUAAACGUUCUUAUGGACUGGUGUCGCCGGAAUGGAAGACGAUGUCGCGAUUGACACUGAGGCGAGAAGCUCUGGUUUUGAAUGUUCUCAGCCAACAGUCCGAAAAGGCGAACGAAGAAGGGGGAGAAUCUUCGAAUUCGAUAUCCUCCUUCGUUCUUCUACAGCAAAAGGAAAAGAGACCAAAGUACUCUCGAAAGUGCGCAACAAACAGAUAGCAAAAUUUCUUUUUCCAGAAUUUUCCAACAAAAGAGAAUCUUAAAAAAAAAUCCUCUCUUAAGCCUUUCAAACUCAAAAUUUCCCAAUCUCAAAGUUUUCAACCAAAAUUCUAACCAAGAAGAAAAACAGUAGAAGAGACCAGUGAGAAAAUCUAAGUCAAAUUUUCCCUCUAUGCAAUCUUUUCGACAAAAUCUCUAAGUAUCUAAUGAUUUUUCCACUCCGAAAAUUCCAACCAAAAUCGCUAACCCCUUUUCUUGAGGACGAAAGGGGUUUAUAUAGGGGGAUAUUAAGGUUUUUCGGAAGAGGGAGGGCGGGAACGUGACUAUUGAUUUCAAAUUUGAAAUCUCUUUCAUUAAUGGAGCCACACUUUUCCUGAAGAUUUCGUCUUUUUUGGAAAAUGGAAAAAGGGAGGGGAAUGGCUAGGAUCGCUCCAAUCGUCCUUGAGGGGAGACGUGGAUCGAUCUCGCGCCCUCAAGGACGAAAAUGCGUCUGGCACAGACGAAAACACAGGUCUGCCAUAGCCGAAAGCAGGUCUGCUGCGAUGGGUUGAAGAAGGAGACGUUGGUGGAGAGAGAAGUCGCGUGGGGAGACGAGAAACGCGGCUGGAGGCUACUUUUCGUACGCAGACUCUGCGUUCUCUGGUGAUUUCUGGAAAUGGCGUAGGUGUUCCGUUUUUCUGGGUAGCGAGAGGGGAAGCUCGCGUGGGGAGACGCGAGGAGAGGAGGAGAGGAAGGGAGAGAGCGUGAGGAAGACGCGAGGGUGUUGGGAGAGGGGGAAGAUUUUUUUGUUUUUUUUGGAGUACUGUCGCGUCUGCAUUUUCUGUUUCUGGGGAUUUUUGGCGUGGUGUGAAGGGAAGAAGAAAGGGGGAAACGGGUUAUUGGGUUGGGUCGGAGCGGGUCAUAAGGGUUUGGGUCGUUGGGUUUGAAUUGGGUUGGGUAUUGGAUUGGUGUUUAAUGAAUUGGGUAUUUAGGUGUGGGCUGAGGGAAAUUUGGGCUGUUGGAUAGAGAAUGGGCCUCAGAAUUGAGGUGGGGUUGACAAGGGGAAAGGGAAAUGGGCCGCUCAUCCUUUGGGCCUGGGGCGGCUGGAAAGGAGAGGGGGGGGAAGCUGGUAGGUUGGAGAAGGGCCCAAUUUCGGCUCUAAAGUGAAUAUAAGGGAAAACAAGUCAAAUUUAAGAAGAGUCAAUCGAUUUAAAACGGAUUUGAUAUAAAUUCAUUAACGAGCCUAUUUAUUUAUUAACAUAACUAUUUAAAUUAUAAAACAAUGAUUCAAAAUAAUUCAUUUAAAACAAGCUAGCUAAACAAAGCCUUUAAAUGUAUAUUUUUUGGUGGUUUUGAAUAAUCAUGAGAUACGACUUAUAUACAUAAUUAUGUAAAUAUGUAUAUCACCCGAAAAUUAUGGCAAAAGUACUUGAAAUAACAUAAAAUUCACGUAUUAUAUUAUUUAAUUUUUGCAAAAUUUAUAAAAUUAAUUAAUUAAAAUUAUCUGGGAAAUUUAGGAAGCUCGAUAAUUAAUUUAUACCGCGCCGGUCAAAAAUUGGGUGUCAACAACUGUCCCUCAUUUUACUUGGGUUGAUGCAAGCAACUCGAGGAAAAUGAAAUUGACCACCAAUUUUGGCCAACCCUCUUCAUUUUAAAGAAAGUAUUCGACACAGGAUUUAGGAACUAUGGCCGAACCCUUGAAAGAGGUUUCCUACAUAUCUCAGGCUAUAUGAGAAUUCAGGCCACUUGUAGUUCGAUAAGCUUGAUUUAUCGCAUGAUUUUGAAAGAAUCAAAAGCCACCUCGACACCGAAUUAUGAAGGCGCCGAAAUACUCGAGAAUAGGAUUUGAGAGCGAAUGUUGGAAUACAGCCGAGUUUUCAACAUUGAAUCCGUCUACAUAUCCCUAAACCUUCGAAAUCAGGCUGUGUGUAGUUUGACUCGAUAGGUGGAAAAGGAAAUCUAUUACGCUAGAUAACCUUCGGUUUUGGACAAGUGACAUGUUGAACGAGUAUGAAAAAGAGGCUUGUAACCUCUUAUCCAUGAAUGUGGCGCGCUUCACACCCAUAAUUAAGAACUUACACGGACAUAAUUUCCAAAGCUCUUGGCGAGUUGUCACUCAGAUUGGAAACUUGCUUCCGAUGAGACUAAACUUCCGGAUGCGAGACAGAAACUGACAGAACUAAGGAAAAACUCGUGUGCUUCGAGAGGGGUGGUUCGAUUGUGGUGGAAGUCGCUCUCCUGCUCGCGUCCUAAGAGUUUGACACUCCUCUUCGGACUGUGUCCCAGUUCGCUGCUAAGAAAAAGUUCCACGUUGUGCUGCAUCCUUUUUGAUGUCAUCCGCACCUGUGGUUUUUGGAGAAUUCAUCCUUUCGGAUGCUCUCGACAAAGACUGAGAUAAAACUCAUCAGCUUAAGAAAUGCAAUUAGGAUGGGAGACAGUGUCUUUUUACCAUAUAGACACUUCAUUGUUCUCCACAAUAUUCGACGUCGACUCAAUCGGUCCGACAUCUAGCAAAUAAAGCUUAUGCCUUGUGUUUUGCAAUAUGAUCUUCAAUGUAUUCCAUACUUGAUGUUGAAAUAAAUAAACAAAUGCUGAUGCGAUAUUGAUGUUUCUUUUGUUGUCAUCUUCGAUGCUCUCCUUGAUUUUACUUUUAUAAGAAAUAACAGAAUGCAGUCGAGGCCAAUGGAUAAGUAUUGCUCUUUCUUUAUCCAUGUACGUCCUCUUGCGGGGCAUGAAUAUCUUCCCGCAAUACGUAAAUUCCCGUGAGAAAUGAAUCUUCUCGCGAUGCAUAACUUUCAGCGAGGAAUAAAACCUUCUCGCGAUGUGCAAAUUUGACGAGGCAUGAAUUCUUCUCGUCGUGCAUAAAUUUUGACGAGGCAUGAAAUCUUCUCGUCGUGCAUAAUUAAUGACUCGCGAUGCAUGAUUUCCACGAUGCAUGAUUUUCAACGAGGCAUGGAUUCUUCUCGUGAUGCAUAAAUUCCAGCGAGGUAUGAAGUCUUCUCGCGAUGUAUAAAUUUUGACGAGGCAUGAAACCUUCUCGUCGUGCAUAAUUAAUGACUCGCGAUGCAUGAUUUCCGCGAUGCAUGAUUUUCGCUAUGCAUGAAUUCCAGCGAGGCAUAAAUCCUUCUCGCGAUGUAUAAAUUUCAGCGAGGUAUGAAGUCUUCUCGCGAUGCAUAAAUUUUGACGAGGCAUGAAAUCUUCUCGUCGUACAUAAUUGUCAGCAAGGGAUAAGGUCUUCUCGCGAUGCAUAAAUUUUGACGAGGCAUGAAAUCUUCUCGUCGUGCAUAAUUAAUGACUCGCGAUGCAUGAUUCCGCAAUGCAUGAUUCCGCGAUGCAUGAAUUCCAGCAAGGCAUAAAUUCUUCUCGCGAUGUAUAAAUUCCAGCGAGGUAUGAGGUCUUCUCGCGAUGCAUAAAUUUUGACGAGGCAUGAAAUCUUCUCGUCGUGCAUAAUUAAUGACUCGCGAUGCAUGAUUCCGCGAUGCAUGAUUUUCAGCGAGGCAUAAAUUCUUCUCGCGAUGUAUAAAUUUUGACGAGGCAUGAAAUCUUCUCGUCAUGCAUAAUUAUUGACUCGCGAUGCAUAAUUUCCGCGAUGCAUGAUUCCGCUAUGCAUGAUUCUGCGAUGCAUGAUUUUUCAGUGUAUAAAUUCCGCGAUGCAUGAAUAUUUAUAUCGCUCCCGUGGAUAGUAACGGCAAGACGACCUCCAAAUAAUAUAUCGCCUUGAUCGAUAAUGAUAAAAAUAAUAAUUGCAUAGCUGCCUCUUCUAAGGUAAUGCAUUGUCUUGAUCGACAAUAAUCAUCUUGCUUCGAUAACGCAAUGCAAAUAGCGUCUUCUAUAGAAAUCGUGAAAUCUUCGCUGAGAUUCCUUUUUGAUUCACCUUUGAAUCUGGCCAGGCACUUUGUAAAUUUCAUGUAUUGGGGAAUGACUUGAAAUAAACAAACACAUUCACAAGCAUCUUGGCAUAAACGAUAUGAAAUGCUUCUUGCUUUCAAUAAAAUCACUGGUUUUGGAGAUAGUUUUCUCCUUCUCCGUAUUCAUCAGUCGGAAGAAUUCAGCCGAUUUUGAAGCGAAGCUAUAAACCUGCAUCCACAGAAAAAUUGUCAGUUUUAAACAUACUGAUCUGUGUCGAUCCCUUCGGUUGUUUGCUCCUUGUCUUGAUGUCUCCGGUUGAUUUCCCGAUUUCCUGACUCUUGAUAGAUAAGAAAAUAUCUUAUGCCAAAACAGAUGAAAUAUAAAAGGGAAAUUUUUAAGAGAAACAAGAGAAUUUUUUUUUAAAAAUAGUAUCUUGAAAAAGUCACUGCCAAGUCAUGUCAUGUCAGGCUUAACGAGCUCUUUUGAGUUCGACGCUUAUCGAAUGAAUUUCAGAGGCAUUCCGGACUUGCAUGGAAGACCCAUGACGAAAUUUUGAGGCCAUCCUCAAAAUUUCUGCCCCAGUUUAGUAUCUUGGUCAUCUUUCCAUUGUAACCGAACAAAUCGCGGAAUUUUUGAGAUCUCCUCAAAAAUUCUGUCCCAGUCGCAAAUUCGAAAUGUCUUUAGUUUGAUCCGCUAAAGAGAAGGUUCCUUCUGGAGAAUUUUUGAGUCCCUCUCAAAAAUUCUGUCCCAGUUUCUAUUGUAGAAGGGGAAAUAGAACUUACGAGAUAUAUGACCGAGCCCUUGUGGCGCCUACGUAUCCCGUUGAGGCAGGAAUCAGGUCAAACGUAGUUCCCCUUAAAGGUUAACAAGAAUAAAAUUUACAAAGAAACUGACAGAGGCCGACAAAGGCCGCCUACGUAUCUCAUUCUUGAGAAUUCAGGUCGAACGUAGUUCAAAUACAGAGAAAUGAUUAAGGAGGAAAAUGGGGUGACCGAAGCCGACAUAGGCCGCCUACGUAUGUCGUUCUCGAGAAUUCAGGUCAGACGUAGUUCGUUACGGGAGGGAUAAGAGUUCAAAUUCGAACAAAUACAAGCAAACAGAAGAUUACAAGUAAAUGAUGGAAAAUGCAAAACGAACUUCACGCGUAGUAUCUCUUGACAGCAUCUGAGUUGAUAGGCUUGGGCCAUAUAGCACCAUCCAUCUCUGACAAGACUAAAGCACCUCCACAUAGUACUUUGCGAACCAUGUAAGGACCUUGCCAGUUUGGUGCGAACUUUCCUUUGUAUUCGUCUUGAUGAGGAAAAAUACGCUUAAGGACCAACUGACCAACUUCGAAAUUUCUGGCUCUUACUCUUUUGUGAAAAGCGCGAGUCAUUCUUUGUCUAUACAACUGGCCAUGACAGACGGCGACCAUUCUCUUCUCAUCAAUCAAAGCUAGUUGAUCAACCCGUUUGCUAACCCACUCCGCGUUGCUUAACUCAGCUUCUUGGAUGAUCCUCAAUGAUGGUAUCUCGACUUCGACAGGUACGACUGCUUCUGUUCCAUAUACUAGAAGGUAUGGAGUAGCCCCAGUCGAUGUUCUGACCGUUGUUCGAUAACCUAGUAGAGCAUAUGGCAACAUUUCAUGCCAACCUCGCUGCUUGUCGAUCAUUUUCCUUAGAAUCUUUUUGAUAUUCUUAUUGGCGGCCUCUACAGCUCCGUUCAUUUGAGGGCGAUAAGCAGUUGACCUUCGAUGAAUAAUCUUGAAUUGUUCACAUAUCUCUUUCAUCAGAUGACUGUUGAGAUUUGCACCGUUAUCAGUGAUGAUGGAUUCUGGAACUCCAAAUCGGCAUAUCAGAUUGUUGCGGACAAAGUCGGCCACCACUUUCUUGGUUACCGACUUGUAAGAGGCUGCUUCCACCCACUUGGUGAAAUAAUCAAUGGCAACCAAAAUGAAUCUGUGUCCAUUAGAAGCGGCUGGCUCUAUAGGACCGAUGACAUCCAUUCCCCAGGCUACAAAUGGCCAAGGUGAACUCAUAGCAUUAAGUUCGUGAGGUGGCACCCGUAUCAGAUCGCCGUGCACUUGACAUUUGUGGCAUUUUUGUACGAAUUUGCAACAGUCGUUCUCCAUAGUCAUCCAGAAAUAACCGGCUCGAAGAAUCUUUCUUGCUAAAGUAAGCCCGUUCAUGUGUGUACCACAAACUCCAGCAUGUAUCUGCUCAAUAAGCCUCAUAGCUUCAGCAGCAUCUACACAUCUUAAAAGACCCAGAUCUGGAGUCCUCCUAUACAGGACUUCUCCAUUCAAAAAGAAAUUGAGAGCCAUACGACGUAUCGAUUUCUUUUGAUUAGAUGUAGCGUCUUCUGGAUAUGUCCCAGACUCUAAGUAUCUCUUUAGGUCAAAAUACCAAGGCAAACCAUCUGGUUCUGAUUCCACGUGUGAACAAUGGACGGGAUGCUCCUUCAAAUCUAUAUCCAGAGGGUCAAUAUAAUCAGCGUCCGGAUGUUUGAUCAUUGAAGCGAUGGUGGCAAGAGCAUCAGCUAAUUCAUUCUGUAUUCGGGGAGUAUGUCUGAACUCGAUCUUGUGAAACCUUUUACACAGGUUUUGCACAUAUUGUACAUAAGGUACAAUCUUCGGGUUCUUCACAGCCCAUUCUCCUUGAACCUGGUGAAUCAAGAGGUCUGAAUCCCUAAUAACCAGUAACUCGUAAACAUUCAUGUCAACGGUCAUCUUCAAACCGAGAAUGCAAGCUUCAUACUCAGCCAUGUUGUUUGUGCAGUUGAAUCGUAGCUUAGCCGCCAUAGGAUAGUGCUGACCAGAUUCUGAUACCAGGACUGCUCCAACACCUUUACCCUGGUGAUUCACCGCUCCAUCAAAGAAUAAUCUCCAACCUGGAUAAGCUUCAGAGAUAUCUUCACCCACAAAGGACACUUCUUCAUCGUGGAAAUAUGUCUUGAGAGGUUCAUACUCUUCAUCAACGGGAUUUUCCACAAGAUGAUCAGCCAAGGCUUGUGCCUUUAUUGCCUUCUGAGUCACGUACACGAUGUCAAACUCACUCAACAGCAUUCGCCAUUUAGCUAACUUCCCGAUCGGCAUCGCUUUCUGGAAAAUAUACUUCAAUGGAUCCAUUCUGGAGAUAAGAUAUGUAGUAUACGACGACAAAUAGUGCCUCAGCUUCUGGGCAAGCCACGUCAGAGCACAGCAUGUUCUUUCCAGCAAAGUGUAGCGAGACUCGUACGGAGUAAAUUUCUUGCUGAUGUAGUAGAUAGCCUUUUCCUUCUUCCCUGUCUCGUCGUGUUGACCAAGUACGCACCCAAAGGCGUUAUCUUAGACAGACAAAUACAGCAACAAAGGACUCCCUUCUCGCGGAGGAACCAAUACUGGUGGGUUAGACAAGUAGCUCUUGAUAGCGUCGAAAGCGGUCUGGCACUCCUCAGUCCACUUAGUUGGGGCAUCUUUCUUCAGCAACUUGAAGAUAGGCUUACAUACCACUGUUGAUUGUGCUAUAAACCGGCUGAUAUAGUUUAACCUCCCCAAGAAACUCAUCACCUCUUUUCUCGUCUUCGGCGGAGGUAACUCCUGAAUUGCUUUAAUCUUGGAAGGGUCGAGCUCAAUACCUCUUCUGCUGACUAUAAACCCCAACAACUUCCCAGCUGGGACUCCAAAAGCACAUUUGGCGGGAUUUAGCUUCAAGUUGUACCGACGCAAAUGUUCAAAGAAUUUCUUCAGGUGUGUCAAAUGAUCCGAACUCUCGCGGGAUUUGAUUAUGACAUCGUCCACGUACACUUCAAUUUCCUUGUGAAUCAUGUCAUGAAAGAUGGUUGUCAUGGCUCUCAUGUAAGUAGCACCGGCGUUCUUGAGGCCGAACGGCAUUACCCUGUAGUGAUACACACCCCAAGGUGUGAUGAAUGUCGUUUUUUCUGCGUCUUCUUCAUCCAUCAAGAUUUGGUGAUAACCCGCGUAACAAUCCACAAAUGACUGCAUCUCAUGUUUGGCACAGUUGUCAAUCAAAAUAUGGAUAUUUGGCAACGGAAAAUUAUCCUUCGGACUAGCCUUGUUGAGAUCUCUGUAAUCAACACAAAUCCUGAUUUUUCCAUCUUUCUUGGCGACCGGAACGACAUUCGCCAACCAGGUGGGAUAUUGCGUUACUUCUACCAACCGAGACUCUAUCUGCUUGGUGAUUUCCUCCUUAAUCUUCAAGCUCAAUUCAGGCUUGAAUUUCCGAGUCUUUUGCUUCACCGGCUCGAACCCUGGGUUGAUAGGCAGCUUAUGAGAUACGACAUCAGUACUCAGCCCCUGCAUGUCACUGACCUCCCAAACAAACACAUCGCUGUAUUCGGCAAGCAAAUGAACCAGGCUCUCCUUCUGAGUUUCAUUCAGGUGAGUGCUGAUCUUAACCUCUUUGACACAUUCUGAGUCUCCCAAAUUUACCGUAUCUGUUUCCUCCAGAUUCGGUUUAUGUUGAUUCUCGAACUGUCAAAACUCUUCUACCACAUAGUCUGGUUCCCCACUUUCUUCGUCGUAGUCGUCAGCCUCGUCGUCAUUAGCCUCAUUUUGCUCGUUUAGCUCAUGACAUGACAUGACAUUGGCAAUUUUUGUAACUUACGUUACACAGAGUUUGGGGCAUCAGGAUCGGCGUGGACGUCCAAUUUUGCAGCAUCUCCCCUGGUUCAACAUCACGAAUGCCUGCUGGCUCAGCCUCCUCCUCGAUGACGGAAUUGUUCUCCUUGAAAAGGCCACAGAUUUCUUUCCCGCCAUCUUCGUCUAUUUCUAUCAUGUUGGUGUUUCCACCCCCAUGAUUUGGCAACGGAUUCGUGUUGACGUUCGGCGCCGCAGGCUGAAGGGAGACCACUUCCUGGUCAAUCAGAUCCUGGAUCUUGUGCUUGAGGUUGAUGUAGUCUUCAGUAUCAUGUCCAACACUGUUGGAAUGAUAAGCACAUCUCUGCUCCGGUCUGUAGAAUCUAGAGUUGACAUCCACGAGCUUGGGCCCCACAGGGUGGAUGUAUCCGGCCGCAGACAAUCUUUCAAACAACUUGGUUCUGCUUUUAGCCAACACGGUGAAGCUUCUGGAGGGCUUCUUCUCAAAAUUGGGGCGAGGGGGAUCAUACCCGCUCUGUUGAGGGGGAGGGACUUUUUGGUAAUUGCGGGCAUUGGGUCGUGGGGCUUGGUAAUUUGGAUGGGGGCUUUGAUAUGCUGGGGUUCGUAUUUGAUACGCGGGGGACGGUGCUCGAUAGCUUGGAUGUAUAUUAGCGCAGCUGGGAGCGACAUUCUGGUAAUGGGAAGGGACUUGAUAAGCUUGGGGGUAGUUUGGAUAUAUGGAGGGAAAAUUUUGGGGAAUCGGGGGUGGAUUCUGAUACGACAAAAUAUGGGCAUCUGGAUAAGGGGGCAGCAUUGUAGUGGCCGGAAUGAUUUGAUUGUGGAUGGUAAGCUUGAUGAGGCUUUGAUGGAGGGUUGAAGCGGCCUUGGGGACGUGGUAAGUUUCUGGGGGCCUUUCUUCCCCUGUGUGAGAUAGCGUUAACCUCCUCUCUUUUCUUCCUUACCAAUCCGGAAGACCCAGGUGAUGCAGACACUCGGGCUAUCUUUCUCGACUUCAGGCCAUCUUCGAUAGUCUCACCUACUUUGACUAUCUCAGCGAACUUGGCGCCGAUUAAUAAGAUGACUCUGUCAUAAUACUCGGGCUCCUGCACCCGUAUGAACACCUCUACAAUCUCUUUCUCUGUCAUCGGAGGCCUCACCCUCGCCGCCUCUUUCCUCCACCUGUACGCGAACUCUCGAUAGCUUUCUGUGGGCUUCUGCUUCAUCUUCUCCAAGGAGUACCGAUCAGGGACUAUCUCGACGUUGUAUGUGAAUCUGUCGAUGAACUCCUUAGCCAGUGCGCUCCAACUGGGCCAUUGCCGAGUCUCAUGUGACGUGAACCAUUCCAAGGCCUCACCGUACAGGCUCCGGCUGAACAACCUCAUCAGCAGCGCUUCAUCUUUGCCAACUCCCAUGAGUUGGUCACAGUACGCUCUUAGGUGUGCCAUGGGGUUGCCCACCCCUCCGAAGGUAUCAAACUUCGAGAUCUUGAACCCUUCAGGUAGGUUCAAGUCUGGGUGAAUGCAUAGUUCGCGUAGCUUAAACCGGCGACGUUUGGAGUGCAUUGUAAUUCUUUCAUUGCCCUUUUGAUCUCCUCCUUUAUGUCUACCUUCGCUUCUUCCCUCGCCCUCCACUCUCUUUCUUGCUCCUCAUAAUGGUCCAACUCGGAGCCGUGCACCUCAUGCUCGGCCGGGACAGGGACUUGGAAAGUGGUUCUUUUGGGAAGGGGUGGAGCUAUGAAAGGGCUUGGGACGUUCUGUGCGGUUUGAUAGUUUUGCGGAUCAUUUUGGGGAUUGGUAUUCUGGUUUAAGUGGGGAUGCGGUGUUUGGGAAUUGAGGGCGGUGGGAUUUUGGGUUUGAUUUUGGGGUAGUGGGGCUGUUUGAGUGUUGUGGGGAUGUCGUGGCAUUUGUGGAGGAUUGUUUGGAAGUGGUGAGGGAGUUUGAUAAGAGACUGAGGCGUAUUGGGGGUUUUGGGUGGUUAGAUCUAUCCCGGACGGGUUGUGCACGGGUGUCGAUGGACGGUGCUGAGUAGGAUCCGAGUUGGGCGAGGGGAAGUAUGUAGGCGGUCUCGCGUCGAGAAAGUUGGGGCCAAACCCGGGUGGAGGAGUGUCUUGCCUCCGUUGCAUCUCUACCCUCAUGUCAGCUAUUUGCAUCAUCAGCUGCGCAAUAAGCUCAUUCUGCUCUGUCGCGGUGGGCUGAGCCACCACGACGUCUGUGAGGCUGAUUUGUUCACUGUUAUCUCCCAUGUUUGUAUUUGCGUUCGGUCCGGGGAAGGAAUCUGCGAGACCUUUCGAUCUAGUAAAGUAGUGGUGAUCUGCCAGCUUUAUCGAUACAGAUCAGUAAUAGGUACCUGAAAGGUAAAAACAACUCAAAGGCAAAUUUGUUAGCGCAUAUUUGAGUACAAAAUACAUAAUAUCGCACAGCAAACAGAUUAAACACGCAAGUCGCUUUGUUUGAGGAUAUCUUAACCCACGAAUAAGGACGGAUAUAUAUUUUGAACAAACAGGAAUUUGUUUGUUUGGCGCUAUCUUGGGAAAUCUGAAUCACGUUGAGCUAUGAUCUUCUUGCAGCUGCUUCGCAACGUCCGUUGAUCUUAUCUUCGUAUCUCCGAAACAUGGAGGAGAAUGAAAAUUUCCUGUGAUAGGGGCCAGGCCGGGAAGGCUGCCUACGUAUCUCACAAGGAGAAUUCAGGCCCAACGUAGUUCGGAUCUAAGACCUUAGGGCGGUAUUUGUGAUAUGGGAAAUGGUUUUUUUUUUUUGAGUGAGAAACUUGAGACUCGAAAAUUUUGGUCGUACAUUUGUAAUAGUGGCUUCCGUACAUUUUGGAAUUUCUGGCUAGGAGUGGGUUUACAAUAUCCUCAUUCUAAGCAACAUGACACAUAAGCAUUUAAAUACACAUAUAUAUCGAAUGUCAAACAAUAUGAUGCGUCGUGAGGUCGAAGACCUUAGACGCGAUUUUGGCGAUUUUUCUACUAAAAUGGACUUAAUACGCCUUGGGUAUUAAGUCAUCCUAGGCUGAUGCCUAAUUUUGGUUUUGGUUACGCUCUAACCUAGUUUGACUAAGAGUGGGUUGUAUUUAAAGUGGAAUGGGUAACGCAAGCGGACUACUUGAGCUGGGACAAUUAACGAUCGUUGACUAUCAAGUAAUCAACUACACUCGUCAGGGUGCCCCGAGAAGAUUUUUGGUUAACGAACGACUGCGAACCCGCAUAAUCGUCCUUUAGUGGAAAUGUAAUAAGUGUCGUUUGACGGAAGUAUGAUAUGUUAUGCAUGCAACAGUUAAAAUCUGAAUAAUUUAAACACUUAAACAAUAAAUCACAAAUAAUCAAAUACGUAAUCUUAAGGUUAGAAUCCUCCAAUUCCCCAGCAGAGUCGCCAUUUCUGUUUUAUCGAAAAAAAAUGAUUUGCGAAAAGGAGCUUGUUUUAUUUUCGACUUUAGGAGUCGCCACUUAAUUUUUUAAGGAAAAUUAAGAAAACUUAUUUUCAAACAAUUAAACAGAAAAAUUGUGUUGAAAAUAUUUAAAUGGGUUCGGGAUUCAUAUUAGUGUCUUAGGAAGGUGUUGAAGGCACCUAAGACACUCCGUUAAAUACGGUUUUCGAACGACUAACUAUUUGACUAUUUUUGUUUUAACUUUUGCAAUUUUGAACUUAUUUAUUUUUAUCUAUGCAAGUUUGACAAAUUCUGAAACACUUAUUAUUUUAAGAUUCCAUUAAAGUUAAAACCUUUUAAACUUAACUCUAAGCAACCUUCAAAUUUAAACCCUUAUUGUUUUAAAGUUUCAAAUUUACGCUUUAAUUUUGAUAAAGUAAAAGGCGUUCGAUGGGGUUUGGAGUUUCUGAUCCUAGACUAUACGACAUUCAAAACAAAAACGACAUAAGCACGUAAUAAAGACAGAGAGAGAGGGAGAGAGAGAGAGAUUCGGGUCCAAGUUUCGGAUGCUGUUCACCUUGGCCGAAACUCGAACCCACCUGCUUUUUGGGUUUUUAACCCAUUUUUGUACCUAACCUAAUCUAAACAUAUAAAGGAAGUACGACAAAAUAAAAUAAGAACAACAAGGCUUAUGCCCAUUACAAAUAAAAAUAUACUAAAUGAAUGGAAAGGUCUUCCAAUCCGUCUUCUUCAAAUCUCUUUAACCUUCAUAGGAUUUGCUUGGCAUGUCUAUCCUGAUGGUUUGACUCGAAUGAAGAGAGUUUCAAGCCUUUACGGCUCUUUCGAAUGCGUAGGAAAAGAUAGAGCCCCAAAGCGGACUCGAAAAAGUAUUUCACAUGCAACAAAAAUAAAGGCAGUAUGAAAACAAGCGGAAUCUCGCAGAACAAAGAAGCAAAGAUUAUACAAAACUACUGUUAUUCAUCAUCUAGGACUAACUCAUUUAUGUAUAUCACUGGAAACAACAAGUUAUAAUACCCAUCAAUCAAAGUUUUUAAUAAUGACGCAUUCUUAACCAAUAAACUAACAUGACGAAAAACCAUACCGCGGAAAGAAAAGGAAAGAAAGAGAAUUCAUACAUGCUGUUUCGAAUUUAAAUGUAAGCAUACGGGUUCAAACAUCUUUUGAAACUCAACAGGUGCUUAGCAUAUUCAUCACUAGUUAAUUGAAGAGUCAAAAUGAUUAACAUGGUAAUACAAUACAUGGUUCAAACAAUACACACUCACUAUUCAUCACAAACAAGACUAGCCGUAACAGCAUGUUUUCGCCACGAUGAGGGCUAAAAAUAUUCGAACUUGCAAGUGUAUGUUACAAACCAAAACUAAACAAAAUUUCCUCUCUAGUCAUUGACGGUGAAUAUCAUUGAAACGGGAUCAUGAAUUUGGGAUGAGAAGCGUCAAGAACCUUCAAACAAAAGAACAAAAGAAGUGGCAGUCGGAAAAUGCGGACUGGAAAACAGAUUUCAUCAUUUAACUUCAGCUAAUCAAUAAGUAAAAUGCAGCUCGCAAUACUACUAUAAGCGACCCUUUCAGUUGAGAUUCAGACAAAACGACACAAAUGACGAGUGUAACGACCAAACACAACAUGCGAUGUGACUCGAACACAAACAAAGCCAACAAGUAUAAUCUUCUACACUCACUGCGAGCAAGCCAUACAUACUCAACACCCGAACAUUUAACAUGCUUGACAAAGGAAAAAAAAUAAAAAAAAAGAGGACCAGCAUACUGAAUGGGCAACAUCAUACAUAACGGUUUCAACUAUUAACCCGAAAGAGGCUCCAGUCACAACAAUGAACCAUCACAUCAAAAACAACAUGAACAAGGAGUAUUCGGAAAGGGAAAACAGUAAGCAACAGAACAACAUAACCACGAAUUUUCAAACGGUUUCUGCACUACAUCGAGUCAACAACAGCUACAACCAACCUAAACAACGAAGUGCAAACAACAGAUACAACUAAAAAUCGAGAGUUGAAACGAAUGUUACCUUUUUCGGAGCAGCGAACGGAACAGGGACGAGCAGCAAUAGCAGCGACUUCCACACGCGAACGGCUGAACGUUCUUAUGGACUGGUGUCGCCGGAAUGGAAGACGAUGUCGCGAUUGACACUGAGGCGAGAAGCUCUGGUUUUGAAUAUUCUCAGCCAACAGUCCGGAAAGGCGAACGAAGAAGGGGGAGAAUCUUCGAAUUCGAUAUCCUCCUUCGUUCUUCUACAGCAAAAGGAAAAGAGACCAAAGUACUCUCGAAAGUGCGCAACAAACAGAUAGCAAAAUUUCUUUUUCCAGAAUUUUCCAACAAAAGAGAAUCUUAAAAAAAAUCCUCUCUUAAGCCUUUCAAACUCAAAAUUUCCCAAUCUCAAAGUUUUCAACCAAAAUUCUAACCAAGAAGAAAAACAAUAGAAGAGACCAGUAAGAAAAUCUAAGUCAAAUUUUCCCUCUAUGCAAUCUUUUCGACAAAAUCUCUAAGUAUCUAACGAUUUUUCCACUCCGAAAAUUCCAACCAAAAUUGCUAACCCCUUUUCUUAAGGACGAAAGGGGUUUAUAUAGGGGGAUAUUAAGGUUUUUCGGAAGAGGGAGGGCGGGAACGUGACUAUUGAUUUCAAAUUUGAAAUCUCUUUCAUUAAUGGAGCCACACUUUUCCUGAAGAUUUCGUCUUUUUUGGAAAAUGGAAAAAGGGAGGGGAAUGGCUAGGAUCGCUCAUAUCGUCCUUGAGAGGAGACGUGGAUCGAUCUCGCGCCCUCAAGGAAGAAAACGCGUCUGGCACAAACGAAAACACAGGUCUGCCAUAGCCGAAAGCGGGUCUGCUGCGAUGGGUUGAAGAAGGAGACGUUGGUGGGGAGACGAGAAACGCGGCUGGAGGCUGCUUUUCGUACGCAGCCUCUGCGUUCUCUGGUGAUUUCUGGAAAUGGCGUAGGUGUUCCGUUUUUCUGGGUAGCGAGAGGGGAAGCUCGCGUGGGGAGACGCGAGGAGAGGAGGAGAGGAAGGGAGAGAGCGUAAGGAAGACGCGAGGGUGUUGGGAGAGGGGGAAGAUUUUUUCGUUUUUUUUUGGAGUACUGUCGCGUCUGCAUUUUCUGUUUCUGGGGAUUUUUGGCGUGGUGUGAAGGGAAGAAGAAAGGGGGAAACGGGUUAUUGGGUUGGGUCGGAGCGGGUCAUAAGGGUUUGGGUCGUUGGGUUUGAAUUGGGUUGGGUAUUGGGUUGGUGUUUAAUGAAUUGGGUAUUUAGGUGUGAGCUGAGGGAAAUUUGGGCUGUUGGAUAGAGAAUGGGCCUCAGAAUUGAGGUGGGGUUGACAAGGGGAAAGGGAAAUGGGCCACUCAUCCUUUGGGCCUGGGGCGGCUGGAAAGGAGAGGGGGGGAAGCUGGUAGGUUGGAGAAGGGCCCAAUUUCGGCUCUAAAGUGAAUAAAAGGGAAAACAAGUCAAAUUUAAGAAGAGUCAAUCGAUUUAAAACGGAUUUGAUAUAAAUUCAUUAACGAGCCUAUUUAUUUAUUAACAUAACUAUUUAAAUUAUAAAACAAUGAUUCAAAAUAAUUGAUUUAAAACAAGCUAGCUAAACAAAGCCUUUAAAUGUAUAUUUUUUGGUGGUUUUGAAUAAUCAUGAGAUACGAGUUAUAUACAUAAUUAUGUAAAUAUGUAUAUCACCCGAAAAUUAUGGCAAAAGUACUUGAAAUAACAUAAAAUUCACGUAUUAUAUUAUUUAAUUUUUGCAAAAUUUAUAAAAUUAAUUAAUUAAAAUUAUCUGGGAAAUUUAGAAAGCUCGAUAAUUAAUUUAUACCACGCCGGUCAAAAAUUGGGUGUCAACAAAGGAUACCCUAGAGGUGGUUGGUAUGGAGAAUUGCCUCGCAGCUAAUUAAAUAAUUACAUACUGAGGAAUAUUUAUGUAUAUCCCUCUAAUGUAUCAGUUAUUAUGUUCACGAUAAAUAUUGAGUAGCCAAGUAUUAUUCAUAUCUAUAUAUAUUUGUAUUGUGUGUUUAAUUAAUAGGUAACGUAGUUUUGUUGUUGAAAGUAUGAAUAAAUAAAUGUAUCAUAAAUCUCCAUUCACUUACUAUGGAUGGAUGUUCAUGAUCAUGUAAUGUUUCUUUAAAUAAUAAUAUAAUUAUCAUAGAAUUUAAUUUCUUUACGUCCUUUUCCGUCUACGUAUUAUUAUUCCAAUGAUCCAAAUAGUUUAAGUGAAGUUGAAUUUUUAGUUGUAUUUGUUGACUAUAUUUCGCUUUACGUAAUAAUGGAGUUUAUAUAUUUUAGAUAAUUAAAUUUAGAUUUUUACUUUUUUCUAUUUCUAUUUUAAUAUACGAUACAUAUUUUAGGAUUAAAUAAAAUUUAAAUUUAUCGAAUAAUCCAAAGGAAAUGAAUAACCUGAUAUACAAGUGGGUUGCUUAAUUAUGAAAAAAGUCUUGUUACUGUUGGUAUGAGAUUAGUAACAGAUUUUUGAAUUCAAAGUAUAUAUAUAUAUAUAAUUAUAUAUAUUGGGACAAUACAUCGAAUUUCCUUAAAUUUGUUUCAAUUUUUCCAUUAGAUACUUAAUUAAACUUCAUUCAAAAAAAAGUACUAAUGAAAAACAAAUAGUGAAGAUCAGGGCAACAUCUCUCAAAUAACUCCAAAGGAAAUAAAUAACCUGAUCUACAAGUGGACUGCUUUAGAAAAAUUACCAUGUAUUUGAGAUCGCUUACUUCACUUCUUCUCUCGUUUGCAGAAAAAUCACCAUGUAUUUGGAAUUUCGUUCACCUCACUUCUUCUCUUGUUUGUCUCGUAUGAUGUAGCGGAUGCAAAAUUGUUAUUAAGAAUAUCAAUGGUUACAGUAAAAAAUACAAAAUUAUCGGGUCAUGUUAUGUUAUACAUGUGGAAUUAUUUUGUUUGGUGUUAGUGUCGCAUUCAAAAUUUAUUGUUGGUAUAUAAAAAUUAAUUCUCGCAAUAAUAGUUAUCAUCUAUAUAUAUUUUAGAUAAAUAACACGAAAAUGUACAAGUAUCCUUUUAGACUAUGAUCGAAAAUUCAGAGACACGCUUUAACUAAACUAAGGUCCUAUUACUUCCGAACUUAAUUUUUGUAAUUUUGUGCACCUUUUUGGCUUAUGUGACAGUCAAAUAUCUCUCACGCGCCUCAAUUGCGUGAAGUUACGGAGUGGGUCAUGUGAGACAAAAAGUAUACAAAAUUUAAAAAAAAAAAACACUAGUUCAGAAAUAAUGGAACCUUAAUUUAGUUAAAAUAUGUCUCUGAGAUUUCGAUUAUAAUUUAGAGAAAUACUUAUGCGUCUUCCCAUAAAUAAUCAAUAAUUCUUUUGAAAAUGAUUUAUUAUGUUAUUACAUGUUUUCUGUAACGAUAUUUCAUUAUAGUUGUAAAAAGUAUUUGGGCAAAUGACAUUUAUCAGUUUAGUUACAUUUACCAAAAAUUUCAGCACAAUUUAGAAAAUCGUGAAGAUGCACUUGUAAUUUCUUUCCCUCUCGUUUUAAAGUAGCUUGUAAUUUGCACCAAAGGUAUGUCUUGAUUUCCAUUUUUUCGAAAAUCAAAUUAAUUAAUCUAUGAAAUCAAUUUUUAUCAUAUUAACUUAAUAAAAUUAAAAGAGUUCGAGAAGUGAAAAACAAUAUAAAAUUAGUCAAUGGGGGAGUAGUUUAACAAUAAAUUGUGAAAUAAGAAGAAACAUAUGUUUGUCGUCAACACAUAUUCAAUAUAAUCAAGAACAAGAAGAAUUAUACAUUAUGGAAAAUUGAAAAUAUAUUAUCACAGUAUAUUGUGUUACAUUUUACAACAAAAUAUUACAUGAUCAACCAUACAUAUGAACUGAAUGAUGUUUUAUUCAUACGAUUUUAGAGUAGCAAGACCAUUACUAUAUCAUACAUCUUGCCACUACAUACAACGAUUUAUAAUAUUAUUUGAUGAUUUGUUCUGAGACAAUUGGCUAGUCACUUACUCAUGGCCACCAAUGGGAGGGUUGUAUGCACCACUUCAAGGCUUGUAUUUGUCAUUAGGGGGCUUAUAUUUGUCACUUGGAGAUUUGUAUUCAUUAUCAGGGGAUUUGUAUUUGUCACCUGGAAACUUGUAAUCGUCACUUGGGGGCUUAUAUUUAUCAUGUGAGGGAUUAUAGUUGUCACCUUCAUGUUUAUAUUCAUCUCUAUAAGGCUUAUAUUUGUCACGUGAGGGAUUAUAGUUGUCACCUUCAUGUUUAUAUUCAUCUCUAGGAGGCUUAUAUUUAUCAUGUGAGGGAUUAUAGUUGUCACCUGCAUGUUUAUAUUCAUAUCUAGGAGGCUUAUAUUUGUCAUGUGGAGAGUUAUACUUGUCACGUGGAUAUUUGUACUCAUCACUAGGGGGUUUGUACUUAUCAUAUGGGGAUCUAUAUUUGUCACCUGGAGAUUUGUAUUUGUCACCUGGAGACUUGUAUUCCUCACUUGGGGGCUUAUAUUUAUCACGUGAGGGAUUAUAGUUGUCACCUGCAUGUUUAUAUUCAUCUCUAGGAGCCUUAUAUUUAUCAUGUGGGAAGUUAUAUUUGUCACGUGAAUAUUUGUACUCAUCACUAGGAGGUUUGUAUUUGUCAUAUGGGGAUCUAUAUUUGUCACCUGGAGACUUAUAUUCUUCACUAGGGGACUUAUAUUUAUCACGUGGAGAGUUAUAUCCAGUAUUAUAUUUGCCACGUCCAUCACCAGAAUAUCCGCCAAUGCCAUUAUAUCCAUCAUGGUAUUCAUCAUUCUUGUCAUCCAAUUUCAUUGCUACAAAUAUCAAAUAUGAAAUUUAUAAUUAGCAUAACAUCGAAUAUAUAUCAAAUGAUUAUAUAAGAAAUACAAUAUAUAUUUCAAAGAGAUAACUAAUUAAAGAAAAAUAAUAGUAAUAAACUUACAGGUCUCACAGCUUAUCAUUGCAAAAAUAGCCAAAAGAAUGCCAAGAAAUAGAAAUUCCUUGGAACCCAUCAUUUUUUUUCUUCUUUAAAGCUUAGUUAUUUUAAUUAAAGGAUGAAGAAAUUGAAGCAACGUUGAGUUAUAUUUAUACUAAGAAUUCAAUGUAUUAAAAUUGAUAAAUGGUCACCUAUCACUUAUCUUGCUCAAUUGACACGCCAUGUAAUUAAUUAUAUUUCCUCCGUUUUAAUUUAUUUGAUUAUUUAAAUAUUCGUUUAAGAAAGGAAUUUAGUAUAGGACCACAAUGUUUAUAGUUAAUAAAAGAAAACAAUAUAUUAUUUAAUUAUAAUUUUAAAAAAUGAAUAUUUUAAUAAACACAUAUUUUAUGUUAUGAUGGGAGUGAAUCUCAAACAAAAGAGAGAAAUGUUUUUGUUAAAUAUAUUUUUAAUACUUAAAUAAAAUCCCUAAGAGUAAUAAAUAACUUAAAAAUAUUAUUAUAUUUAUCAUAAUGCAAAUUUCUACAUUUUUUUUACGUAAUUUGUUUUUCUUAGACUUUUUUUUUUGGGGGGGGGAAUUUGAAUAACAGAGACUAAUUCUCCAUUACUAAUAAAAAAAAGAUUCUUAAGUUUUACUUAAACACAAAUUGUUAUAAGUUAUAACCAUUCAAAGAACUUUUCAAAAACACGUUUGACAAAAUAAAAUACGUAGAAUUUAAAAGUUUUCCCAAAUAGGUUUUAAUUACUCAAAAAAUCUUUAUUGCUUUAGUUUUCUACUUCAUAUAUUUGAAGUAUUGCUAUCAAUUUUUGUGUUAGGUGCAAUUUUUGUGUUAGGUGAUCGAUAAGUAUCUUCUACUUUUAAUUUUACGUUUUUAAAUUCAAAAUUUGAGAUAAAAUUUUGAUAGAGAACACUUUAACCCUAAAGUGGAAUAUUCUUGUUAGAGGUAAAAGUAGAGUUGGUACAUCAGAUUUAUCUAAGUAAAAAUAGAAUUGGGACAUCGGAUUUAUCUGAACUUAAUCUUUUAAUGUGAGACAUAAAUUUCUAUUUAACAAUUUAUUCAUAUAGCAACAAAUGAUAUCUCUGAAUUCAUAACUUCAAAAUUACAAGUAAUUCAACACUAAAAACCUUAACCGUUAAGGUACUCGUAAUGUUUAAAUCUAAUUUUUAAGUUAAUUUGAAUCAAUCCACAUUAAUGGUGAAUCAUUUAAUUAAAUUAGUACAUAGAACACAUCAAAAUGUUUCAUAUUAACCGUGUAACAUCAAGUCAUUUCAUAUGAUUAAUUGGUAUUAAUAAUAAAUAUAACAAAUCAUAAGGAAAACUUGUGUUAAUUAAGUCAAACAUGAGAGGUUGUUUAUGAAAUUAUCAUUAAAAAGAUAAUUAACUUGAAAUACCUUAAUCUUGAUUGCUCAUAAAAGAGAGAUUUCGAAAUUUCUUGACUUAAAUCUUAUGUUUUCUUAAAAUAAAUAAAAUUUAGAAACCUUUCUUUAGUUUUAAAUUUAUUCACAUGGGUACAUGAGGAUCUAGCAAUUUUAUUACUGAUUUGCAUGAACUUGACGUUAUUCUAGGAACUCAUAAAUUUUAAGUUCAAAGUUUUCCUAUAAUGAUUAUUGGAUAUUUUCGUGGGAUAGUAAUUGUUAAAGUAUUGUUGUUUUGAAGUAUGGCAAAGUUAAGGAAAUUGUAGUAGUAAUAUGGCAAAAGAAAGAAGAUGUGUGUCUUAUUUGUUGAGUUCGAAAUGUAUAAUUGUCAUCAUCAAAAAGGGGGAAUUUGUUAGAAUGAUAAAGAUUUUGAUAAUUGACAAAUACAGAAACAGGUUGUACAGACGUGUUCCUUACAGAACGAAUCCGACUUGGAUAAGGAGAACGUCAACCACGUGAAUUAGAAGUUAUAAAGUUGUGGAAUUAUAAUUUUUUCGACAAGCAACAAGUACAAAAAGUUUCCUUUUGUAAAGGAGUUCAAAGUCAAGUGAAAGAAGGAAAACUAAUCCCUAUUUAAGGAAAUCUAUUUAAGGAAAUUGUAUAGAAAAGGAGUCCAAGUAGAAGUCAACAAGGAUUUGUAGAAGGCAAAUACAAGUUGAAUUAUACAAGAAUUUGUUGAAGUUCUGAUCUAUAAAUAGGGAGCUAUUUACAUAAAAAAAAAUUGCACACUUACAUAGAGAGAAGAUCAAAACACAAUCAAGAAGUUUAAAAGAGUUUAGAGAUUUAUUGGGAGUGUAGCAAUUUGUGAAUAAAAAUUGUAAGAUUGUAUCAAAGAGUCUUGUUUACAAUCUGAGUUUUGUGAGUAGGAGUUGUUCGACAAGUUGUAGAACUUGAAGAACAUUGGAACAUAUAUAACCGGGGGGUUCUGUGUCUUUGGGUAGCUAGAGUUAUUCUAGAAAUUAGAGUUUAUAAUUCCUUAGGUUACAUAGUUUUGUAAUUUUUUGUUGAAACUUGAAAUUUAAUAAAGUGGAGUUAAAUCCUACAGAGAUGUAGGUCGUGAUUUUUACCCUUGUGAGUUGGGGGUUUUCGCGAUAAAAUAUUGUGUCAUUAUUUUAUUUAUUUCACAAAACGUAAUUGUUGUAAUUUCUCAAAGGAACAUAUAGAAUAAACAUGUUUCUAAGACGAAUUUGGGGGUUAGAAUUCUAACAAUUGGUAUCAGAGCAGGUUAUCUUUGAAGAGUCUAACAACUCAAGAUAAGAUCAUAAUGAAUUUUGCACCUUCUCUUGGGCAUGGUCAAGGGCAACACUUCAACAGACCACUAUUAUUUAAUGGAGAAUACUACUCUUGAUGAAGACAAAAAUGAAAAAUUUCAUUCAAGCUGAAGAUUACGAACUAUGGGUUAGAAUUACUAAUGGACCAUUAAUUCCUACUAUUACUGAUAGUGAAGGGAAUAAGGUACCUAAACCUACAGAAAAGUACGGAGAAGCCGAUUACAAGAUGUUAGGAAAGAAUGCAAAAGCUAAGUGCAUUCUCGUAUGUGGAUUAGGACCUGAUGAGUUUAACUGCAUCUCUAGUUGUACCUCUGCAAAACAAAUAUGAGACAUUUUAAAAAACGCUCGAAGGUACAACUCAAGUUCGUAAAUUCAGAAUUGCCAGACUUUGUUCUGAAUAUAAAGCCUUCAAGAUAAAAUUCGGAGAAUCACUUCAAGAUAUGAUCACCAGAUUUACCAUUGUUGUAAACGAGUUAAUAUCCUUGGACAAAGUAUACACCACUGAGGAACAGAUAGACAAAGUACUAGGGACUUUGCCUAGAUCAUGGGAAAUAAAAGUUACUGCAAUCAGAGAAGUCAAAGAUCUAAUCAAUAUGACUUUGGAUGAAUUAGUAGGAAAUCUCAAGACUUAUGAGAUGAAUGUUGACAAAAGAGGUGAAGGAAACAAAGAGAAAAAUCUUGAAUUUAAAGCAACUGAAAGUGAUGAAUUUGACAUAGAUGAUGAUGAUCUUGCUCUGAUAAGUAAGAACUUCAAGAAACUCUUAAAAAGGAGAUUAAACGCUAGCAAGAAAUCACCACCCCAAAAAGUAAGAAAUAUUGAGAGACUAUUAAGCUAUAAUAGAAAACCAUUUUAAAUAGUUUUGUUUGGUACUUACAAAAAUUAUAAGAAAAGAAACAGAGAAAUCAAAUUUGGCAAGAGGUAGAGUAUGUCUCUAUGUUUAGAUCAUAUUAAUUAUUUCAUCGAUCUCAAAUUCUCAAUUUAAUUUAAAUUUUGAAUAUUAAUUCAAGUCAUUUUGAUUUUUGUACAAAUUCAACGUAUAAACAAUUCGUUUGUCACCCAUACUAACACAAAUAUGUAUGAUUACUAGUGUAGAACAUGCAAAUGAUGCCAAACUUCUAGGAAUAGGAUUUCAAGGAUAUUUAGGAGAUGGAAUAGGAGGACUUCCGGGAAUAGGAGGACUUUCAAGAUCAAGAUUUGGAGGAGUCGGGUUUCCAUGGGGAAGAUAUGGUGGUUAUGGUGGUGGUCGUGGAUAUUAUGGUGGUUAUCCAAGAGGAGGAUAUGGUGGGUUUUAUCCUCGAAUUGGUUAUGGUGGAAGAGGAUACCCUAGAGGUGGUUGGUAUGGAGAAUUGCCUCGCAACUAAUUAAAUAAUUACAUACUGAGGAAUAUUUAUGUAUAUCCCUCUAAUGUAUCAGUUAUUAUGUUCACGAUAAAUAUUGAGUAGCCAAGUAUUAUUCAUAUCUAUAUAUAUUUGUAUUGUGUGUUUAAUUAAUAGGUAACGUAGUUUUGUUGUUGAAAGUAUGAAUAAAUAAAUGUAUCAUAAAUCUCCAUUCACUUACUAUGGAUGGAUGUUCAUGAUCAUGUAAUGUUUCUUUAAAUAAUAAUAUAAUUAUCAUAGAAUUUAAUUUCUUUACGUCCUUUUCCGUCUACGUAUUAUUAUUCCAAUGAUCCAAAUAGUUUAAGUGAAGUUGAAUUUUUAGUUGUAUUUGUUGACUAUAUUUCGCUUUACGUAAUAAUGGAGUUUAUAUAUUUUAGAUAAUUAAAUUUAGAUUUUUACUUUUUUCUAUUUCUAUUUUAAUAUACGAUACAUAUUUUAGGAUUAAAUAAAAUUUAAAUUUAUCGAAUAAUCCAAAGGAAAUGAAUAACCUGAUAUACAAGUGGGUUGCUUAAUUAUGAAAAAAGUCUUGUUACUGUUGGUAUGAGAUUAGUAACAGAUUUUUGAAUUCAAAGUAUAUAUAUAUAUAUAUAAUUAUAUAUAUUGGGACAAUACAUCGAAUUUCCUUAAAUUUGUUUCAAUUUUUCCAUUAGAUACUUAAUUAAACUUCAUUCAAAAAAAAGUACUAAUGAAAAACAAAUAGUGAAGAUCAGGGCAACAUCUCUCAAAUAACUCCAAAGGAAAUAAAUAACCUGAUCUACAAGUGGACUGCUUUAGAAAAAUUACCAUGUAUUUGAGAUCGCUUACUUCACUUCUUCUCUCGUUUGCAGAAAAAUCACCAUGUAUUUGGAAUUUCGUUCACCUCACUUCUUCUCUUGUUUGUCUCGUAUGAUGUAGCGGAUGCAAAAUUGUUAUUAAGAAUAUCAAUGGUUACAGUAAAAAAUACAAAAUUAUCGGGUCAUGUUAUGUUAUACAUGUGGAAUUAUUUUGUUUGGUGUUAGUGUCGCAUUCAAAAUUUAUUGUUGGUAUAUAAAAAUUAAUUCUCGCAAUAAUAGUUAUCAUCUAUAUAUAUUUUAGAUAAAUAACACGAAAAUGUACAAGUAUCCUUUUAGACUAUGAUCGAAAAUUCAGAGACACGCUUUAACUAAACUAAGGUCCUAUUACUUCCGAACUUAAUUUUUGUAAUUUUGUGCACCUUUUUGGCUUAUGUGACAGUCAAAUAUCUCUCACGCGCCUCAAUUGCGUGAAGUUACGGAGUGGGUCAUGUGAGACAAAAAGUAUACAAAAUUAAAAAAAAAAAACACUAGUUCAGAAAUAAUGGAACCUUAAUUUAGUUAAAAUAUGUCUCUGAGAUUUCGAUUAUAAUUUAGAGAAAUACUUAUGCGUCCUCCCAUACAUAAUCAAUAAUUCUUCUGAAAAUGAUUUAUUAUGUUAUUACAUGUUUUCUGUAACGAUAUUUCAUUAUAGUUGUAAAAAGUAUUUGGACAAAUGACAUUUAUCAGUUUAGUUACAUUUACCAAAAAUUUCAGCACAAUUUAGAAAAUCGUGAAGAUGCACUUGUAAUUUCUUUCCCUCUCGUUUUAAAGUAGCUUGUAAUUUGCACCAAAGGUAUGUCUUGAUUUCCAUUUUUUCGAAAAUCAAAUUAAUUAAUCUAUGAAAUCAAUUUUUAUCAUAUUAACUUAAUAAAAUUAAAAGAGUUCGAGAAGUGAAAAACAAUAUAAAAUUAGUCAAUGGGGGAGUAGUUUAACAAUAAAUUGUGAAAUAAGAAGAAACAUAUGUUUGUCGUCAACACAUAUUCAAUAUAAUCAAGAACAAGAAGAAUUAUACAUUAUGGAAAAUUGAAAAUAUAUUAUCACAGUAUAUUGUGUUACAUUUUACAACAAAAUAUUACAUGAUCAACCAUACAUAUGAACUGAAUGAUGUUUUAUUCAUACGAUUUUAGAGUAGCAAGACCAUUACUAUAUCAUACAUCUUGCCACUACAUACAACGAUUUAUAAUAUUAUUUGAUGAUUUGUUCUGAGACAAUUGGCUAGUCACUUACUCAUGGCCACCAAUGGGAGGGUUGUAUGCACCACUUCAAGGCUUGUAUUUGUCAUUAGGGGGCUUAUAUUUGUCACUUGGAGAUUUGUAUUCAUUAUCAGGGGAUUUGUAUUUGUCACCUGGAAACUUGUAAUCGUCACUUGGGGGCUUAUAUUUAUCAUGUGAGGGAUUAUAGUUGUCACCUUCAUGUUUAUAUUCAUCUCUAUAAGGCUUAUAUUUGUCACGUGAGGGAUUAUAGUUGUCACCUUCAUGUUUAUAUUCAUCUCUAGGAGGCUUAUAUUUAUCAUGUGAGGGAUUAUAGUUGUCACCUGCAUGUUUAUAUUCAUAUCUAGGAGGCUUAUAUUUGUCAUGUGGAGAGUUAUACUUGUCACGUGGAUAUUUGUACUCAUCACUAGGGGGUUUGUACUUAUCAUAUGGGGAUCUAUAUUUGUCACCUGGAGAUUUGUAUUUGUCACCUGGAGACUUGUAUUCCUCACUUGGGGGCUUAUAUUUAUCACGUGAGGGAUUAUAGUUGUCACCUGCAUGUUUAUAUUCAUCUCUAGGAGCCUUAUAUUUAUCAUGUGGGAAGUUAUAUUUGUCACGUGAAUAUUUGUACUCAUCACUAGGAGGUUUGUAUUUGUCAUAUGGGGAUCUAUAUUUGUCACCUGGAGACUUAUAUUCUUCACUAGGGGACUUAUAUUUAUCACGUGGAGAGUUAUAUCCAGUAUUAUAUUUGCCACGUCCAUCACCAGAAUAUCCGCCAAUGCCAUUAUAUCCA